GGAAGUUACUGCUAAUGGUUAGCGACUCGUCUCGAAAACGAGAGUACAGCUAUGCUGUAGGGGUUCGACUCCUCUAACUUCCG
rnacentral:tRNA from 1 species